CCGACCCUGCUGUGUUCGUGAUGCCGCACCCCCGGUUUUGAGCCAACACUUUUGUGACGGGGGCCAACUUGCCAGCGGAAUGCGAUAGGCCUCGAGCCAAGGCAAACCGGUGGAGACGACUCCCACUCCUGCUUCGGCAGGCACAAAACCCCGCGGACACACGGCAUGGUGGGGCCUCU
rnacentral:other from 1 species